rfam:Ixodes scapularis strain Wikel colony gcontig_1107729180000, whole genome shotgun sequence.
CCCAGGUUAGCUCAGUUGGUAGAGCGCUCCACUGGAAAUGGAGGGGUCCCAGGUUCGAUACCAGGACCAGGCG